CACGUAGGGGGCAAGCGUUGUCCGGAUUUAUUGGGCGUAAAGAGCUCGUAGGUGGUUCGGUAAGUCAGGUGUGAAACCUCCAGGCUCAACCUGGAGACGCCACUUGAUACUGCUGUGACUGGAGUCCGGUAGGGGAGCGUGGAAUUCCUGGUGUAGCGGUGAAAUGCGCAGAUAUCAGGAGGAACACCAGCGGCGAAGGCGGCGCUCUGGGCCGAUACUGACGCUGAGGCGCGAAAGCGUGGGGAGCAAACAGG
rnacentral:rRNA from 1 species